UACGGAGGGGGCUAGCGUUGUUCGGAAUUACUGGGCGUAAAGCGCACGUAGGCGGCUUUGUAAGUUAGAGGUGAAAGCCCAGGGCUCAACCCUGGAAUUGCCUUUAAGACUGCAUCGCUUGAAUUGUGGAGAGGUAAGUGGAAUUCCGAGUGUAGAGGUGAAAUUCGUAGAUAUUCGGAAGAACGCCAGUGGCGAAGGCGACUUACUGGACACAUAUUGACGCUGAGGUGCGAAAGCGUGGGGAGCAAACAGG
rnacentral:rRNA from 1 species